CGGCGAGUGAACAGGGAGGAGCCCAGCACCGAAGCCUGUGGCCGCUUGGUCUCUAGGCAGUGUGGUGUUUAGGUUUACUUAUGGGGACACUGCUCCACUUCAAGUCCAAUAAUGAGUACGGUGGUACGGACAUGGCCCAGAGAGGGUGAAAGGCCCGUGGGGGUGGAGUUCAGAUGUGCCAGUGUCUCCCUGAGCAAACCUUGGAGUCGGGUUGUUUGUGAAUGCAGCCCAAAGUGGGUGGUAAACUCCAUCCAAGGCUAAAUACCGACACGAGUCCGAUAGCAAACAAGUACCGUGAGGGAAAGUUGAAAAGUACUUUGAAGAGAGAGUAAACAGUGCGUGAAACCGCUCAGAGGUAAACGGGUGGAGUUGAACUGCAAGCUCUGGGGAUUCAGCUGGUGARUGUGACAUGGGCUUGGUCAUGUUGGUCGCCCCUCUAGGUCCGCUUAGUUGUGGGCCCUCGCUCUUGGGUGAGGGUGCACGAUGCGCUUGUCAAGCGCUGUGCGCCUAGCGGGUUGUCCGGGUCGACUUGCCAGUGCACUUUCCCAGGGUGGUCCACCACGACCGGCGAUUCUGCCAGUCCGCUGUGGUCCAAAUCGGCCUCGCACUGUCCUGCGGCAUUGGAGGUUGAAGAUGGCAGGUAGCCUGUUAGCUUGCGUGGCUUGACCUCGGUCGGCAUGCGCCUGGUUUGCAGGUCUAAUUAGCCGGCUUGCAGUGGCGCUUGUGCGGCACGUCGGAGACGGCGGCUUUUGGUGUGCAUGCGUACCUAGCUCGCCAGCGGUUGUGUCUGGUUACCGUGCCGCCUGUUGAAGCAGGCCCGGUAGCGGCUCGGCGUGGUAUGGCGAGCAGUGGCGUGUGUCACUUGUUGGGCCGAUGGUCGGUGGUGCAGUGGUAGGCUAUCCACCCGACCCGUCUUGAAACACGGACCAAGGAGAUUAACAUGUGCGCGAGUUAUUGGGCGUUACGAAACCCAGAGGCGCAGUGAAAGUGAAUGUUCGGCUUUGUUCGGACUGAGGUGAGAUCCUGUCGUUGCUCGCCCGUGGUACCCCCAGGCGUCCGAGCGGCAGGCGCAUCACCGGCCCGUCCCAUGGUGUAGACGUUGUAUGACGGCGCGACACCGGGGCGGAGCAUGAGCGCACACGUUGAGACCCGAAAGAUGGUGAACUAUGCUUGCGCAGGUUGAAGCCAGAGGAAACUCUGGUGGAGGACCGCAGCGAUUCUGACGUGCAAAUCGAUCGUCAAACGUGAGUAUAGGGGCG
rnacentral:rRNA from 1 species